rnacentral:rRNA from 1 species
GAUGAACGCCGGCGGCGUGCCUAAUACAUGCAAGUCGAGCGAACGGACGAGAAGCUUGCUUCUCUGACGUUAGCGGCGGACGGGUGAGUAACACGUGGAUAACCUACCUAUAAGACUGGGAUAACUUCGGGAAACCGUAGCUAAUACCGGAUAAUAUUUUGAACCGCAUGGUUCAAAGGUGAAAGACGGUCUUGCUGUCACUUAUAGAUGGAUCCGCGCUGCAUUAGCUAGUUGGUAAGGUAACGGCUUACCAAGGCAACGAUGCAUAGCCGACCUGAGAGGGUGAUCGGCCACACUGGAACUGAGACACGGUCCAGACUCCUACGGGAGGCAGCAGUAGGGAAUCUUCCGCAAUGGGCGAAAGCCUGACGGAGCAACGCCGCGUGAGUGAUGGAGGUCUUCGGAUCGUAAAACUCUGUUAUUAGGGAAGAACAUAUGUGUAAGUAACUGUGCACAUCUUGACGGUACCUAAUCAGAAAGCCACGGCUAACUACGUGCCAGCAGCCGCGGUAAUACGUAGGUGGCAAGCGUUAUCCGGAAUUAUUGGGCGUAAAGCGCGCGUAGGCGGUUUUUUAAGUCUGAUGUGAAAGCCCACGGCUCAACCGUGGAGGGUCAUUGGAAACUGGAAAACUUGAGUGCAGAAGAGGAAAGUGGAAUUCCAUGUGUAGCGGUGAAAUGCGCAGAGAUAUGGAGGAACACCAGUGGCGAAGGCGACUUUCUGGUCUGUAACUGACGCUGAUGUGCGAAAGCGUGGGGAUCAAACAGGAUUAGAUACCCUGGUAGUCCACGCCGUAAACGAUGAGUGCUAAGUGUUAGGGGGUUUCCGCCCCUUAGUGCUGCAGCUAACGCAUUAAGCACUCCGCCUGGGGAGUACGACCGCAAGGUUGAAACUCAAAGGAAUUGACGGGGACCCGCACAAGCGGUGGAGCAUGUGGUUUAAUUCGAAGCAACGCGAAGAACCUUACCAAAUCUUGACAUCCUUUGACAACUCUAGAGAUAGAGCCUUCCCCUUCGGGGGACAAAGUGACAGGUGGUGCAUGGUUGUCGUCAGCUCGUGUCGUGAGAUGUUGGGUUAAGUCCCGCAACGAGCGCAACCCUUAAGCUUAGUUGCCAUCAUUAAGUUGGGCACUCUAAGUUGACUGCCGGUGACAAACCGGAGGAAGGUGGGGAUGACGUCAAAUCAUCAUGCCCCUUAUGAUUUGGGCUACACACGUGCUACAAUGGACAAUACAAAGGGCAGCGAAACCGCGAGGCCAAGCAAAUCCCAUAAAGUUGUUCUCAGUUCGGAUUGUAGUCUGCAACUCGACUACAUGAAGCUGGAAUCGCUAGUAAUCGUAGAUCAGCAUGCUACGGUGAAUACGUUCCCGGGUCU